UACGAGGGGGGCAAGCGUUGUUCGGAAUUACUGGGCGUAAAGGGCUCGUAGGUGGCCAACUAAGUCAGACGUGAAAUCCCUCGGCUUAACCGGGGAACCGCGUCUGAUACUGGAUGGCUUGAGUUCGGGAGAGGGAUGCGGAAUUCCAGGUGUAGCGGUGAAAUGCGUAGAUAUCUGGAGGAACACCGGUGGCGAAGGCGGCAUCCUGGACCGGCAUUGACGCUGAGGCGCGAAAGCCAGGGGAGCAAACGGG
rnacentral:rRNA from 1 species